GAUGAACGCUGGCGGCGUGCCUAAUACAUGCAAGUCGAGCGAACAGACGAGGAGCUUGCCCCUCUGACGUUAGCGGCGGACGGGUGAGUAACACGUGGAUAACCUACCUAUAAGACUGGGAUAACUUCGGGAAACCGGAGCUAAUACCGGAUAAUAUAUUGAACCGCAUGGUUCAAUAGUGAAAGACGGUUUUGCUGUCACUUAUAGAUGGAUCCGCGCCGCAUUAGCUAGUUGGUAAGGUAACGGCUUACCAAGGCAACGAUGCGUAGCCGACCUGAGAGGGUGAUCGGCCACACUGGAAAUGAGAAAAGGUCCAGACUCCUACGGGAGGCAGCAGUAGGGAAUCUUACGCAAUGGGCGAAAGCCUGACGGAGCAACGCCGCGUGAGUGAUGAAGGUCUUCGGAUCGUAAAACUCUGUUAUUAGGGAAGAACAAAUGUGUAAGUAACUAUGCACGUCUUGACGGUACCUAAUCAGAAAGCCACGGCUAACUACGUG
rnacentral:rRNA from 1 species